rnacentral:rRNA from 1 species
GACAGAGGGGGCAAGCGUUGCUCGGAAUCACUGGGCGUAAAGGGCGCGUAGGCGGGAUGGCAAGUCACUUGUGAAAUCUCCGGGCUUAACUCGGAACGGCCAAGUGAAACUGUUAUGCUAGAGUGCGGAAGGGGCAAUCGGAAUUCUUGGUGUAGCGGUGAAAUGCGUAGAUAUCAAGAGGAACACCUGAGGUGAAGACGGGUUGCUGGGCCGACACUGACGCUGAUGCGCGAAAGCCAGGGGAGCAAACGGG